rnacentral:rRNA from 1 species
GAGUUUGAUCCUGGCUCAGGAUGAACGCUGGCGGCGUGCCUAAUACAUGCAAGUCGAACGAAGCCUUCGGGCUUAGUGGCGGACGGGUGAGUAACACGUUGGUACCUACCCCGAAGUGGGGAAUAACUGCCCGAAAGGGUGGCUAAUACCGCAUAAUACCGCAAGGUUAAAGCAGUAAUGCGCUUCGGGAGGGCCUGCGUCCCAUUAGCUUGUUGGUAGUGUAAUGGACUACCAAGGCGACGAUGGGUAGCUGGAUCGAGAGGUUGACCAGCCACACUGGGACUGAGAUACGGCCCAGACUCCUACGGGAGGCAGCAGUAAGGAAUCUUCCACAAUGGACGAAAGUCUGAUGGAGCAACGCCGCGUGCAGGAUGACGGCCUCGGUGUAACUGCUUUAUAUGG